GGCUCUUUGAGAUUUAUAUAUAAAGAGUCGGGCCUGCCCAGUGAUGUAUUUUUAACGGCCGCGGUACUCUGACCGUGCGAAGGUAGCAUAAUCAUUUGCCCUAUAAUUGAGGGCUAGUAUGAAUGGUUUGACAUGAGCAUAACUGUCUCCUUAAAAUUUUAUAAAAUUUGGUUUUUAGGUGAAGAAACCUAAAUUAAAUUGAAAGACAAGAAGACCCUAUCGAGCUUUAGAAUAAUUAAUUAAAAAAUAUAAAUAAAACAAUUAAUUUUAAUUAAAAACUUUGGUUGGGGCGACUGAGGAACAUAUAAAGCUUCCUUAAUUAAACAAUGCUGAUAAGCAAUGAUCCAGAAAAUCUGAUUAAAAAAAUUAGUUACCGUAGGGAUAACAGCAUAAUCUUUUUUGAGAGCUCUUAUCGAAAAAAAGGUUUGUGACCUCGAUGUUGGACUAGGAUAUCCUAAAGAUGUAGAAGUCUUUAAUGGUUGCUCUGUUCGAGCAUAAAAAUCCU
rnacentral:rRNA from 1 species